rnacentral:rRNA from 1 species
UACAGAGGUCUCAAGCGUUGUUCGGAUUCAUUGGGCGUAAAGGGUGUGUAGGUGGCGCGCUAAGUCGGGUGUGAAAUUUCGGAGCUUAACUCCGAAACUGCAUUCGAUACUGCGGUGCUUGAGGACUGGAGAGGAGACUGGAAUUUACGGUGUAGCAGUGAAAUGCGUAGAUAUCGUAAGGAAGACCAGUGGCGAAGGCGGGUCUCUGGACAGUUCCUGACACUGAGACACGAAGGCCAGGGGAGCAAACGGG